rnacentral:rRNA from 1 species
GAUGAACGCUGGCGGCGUGCCUAAUACAUGCCAGUCGAGCGAACAGACGAGGAGCUUGCUCCUCUGACGUUAGCGGCGGACGGGUGAGUAACACGUGGAUAACCUACCUAUAAGACUGGGAUAACUUCGGGAAACCGGAGCUAAUACCGGAUAAUAUAUUGAACCGCAUGGUUCAAUAGUGAAAGACGGUUUUGCCGUCACUUAUAGAUGGAUCCGCGCCGCAUUAGCUAGUUGGUAAGGUAACGGCUUACCAAGGCAACGAUGCGUAGCCGACCUGAGAGGGUGAUCGGCCACACUGGAACUGAGACACGGUCCAGACUCCUACGGGAGGCAGCAGUAGGGAAUCUUCCGCAAUGGGCGAAAGCUUGACGGAGCAACGCCGCGUGAGUGAUGAAGGUCUUCGGAUCGUAAAACUCUGUUAUUAGGGAAGAACAAAUGUGUAAGUAACUAUGCACGUCUUGACGGUACCUAAUCAGAAAGCCACGGCUAACUACGUG